rnacentral:lncRNA from 1 species
AGAGAGACCAGAAGAUGCUGUCUCACCCCUUCCUGGUACAUUGGAGGUCAGCACUCAGCAAGGUGACCCCAUCUUCACAGUGACCUAGGAAGGACAAAGGGGUGUGUUAUUGUGGAAUUCUUUCACUUUCCAAGAUCCUAUGAAUGUCCAGUCUCCUUGCCUUUCUCCUACUUGCUCUGUGAGGACCUCUGGCUAAGGUGAGAAGAACUACCUCUCAGGAAAAGUGGCCAUCUCUUCCCCACGGCUCUGGUUAGUCAUUUUGUGGGUCAACUGCCAGGGACGAGUUGCCAACUGAUGUCCAUACAGGUGUCCCUACAAUGCCAGCCCUCUGACUGGCAGCUUCUAAGCCUUUGGAUUCUCAUGACUCACUGUGCUCAUACAACUGACAGGACAAGCAAGGAGAUCUUGGAAAUGCCACCUUCCCUCUAUGCCAGUUGCUGUCAACCUUGCUCCCUUGCCCCCCAAUAGGACAACUCCGAGGUGCAUGGCCUGGAUUAUCUUCUGGAAUUCCCCAGCAGAAUUAGACAGCAGUCAUUCACAGAUUUCCUGCCUGCAAUGUUCUGGGACUGGAGCCUAGCAAAAUUGUCAUCGAAGAGACCAGAGAGACUUCACCUAGCAACUGAUGGGAGCAGAGUCCCACAGCCACACAUUAGGCAUCCCUUUGGAGGGAUGGGGAGGA